rnacentral:rRNA from 1 species
GACGAACGCUGGCGGCGUGCUUAACACAUGCAAGUCGAACGGAAAGGCCCUGCUUUUGUGGGGUGCUCGAGUGGCGAACGGGUGAGUAACACGUGAGUAACCUGCCCUUGACUUUGGGAUAACUUCAGGAAACUGGGGCUAAUACAGGAUAGGAGCUCCUGCUGCAUGGUGGGGGUUGGAAAGUUUCGGCGGUUGGGGAUGGACUCGCGGCUUAUCAGCUUGUUGGUGGGGUAGUGGCUUACCAAGGCUUUGACGGGUAGCCGGCCUGAGAGGGUGACCGGCCACAUUGGGACUGAGAUACGGACCAGACUCCUACGGGAGGCAGCAGUGGGGAAUAUUGCACAAUGGGCGGAAGCCUGAUGCAGCAACGCCGCGUGCGGGAUGACGGCCUUCGGGUUGUAAACCGCUUUCGCCUGUGACGAAGCGUGAGUGACGGUAAUGGGUAAAGAAGCACCGGCUAACUACGUG